rnacentral:rRNA from 1 species
GACGAACGCUGGCGGCGUGCCUAAUACAUGCAAGUAGAACGCUGAAGGAGGAGCUUGCUUCUCUGGAUGAGUUGCGAACGGGUGAGUAACGCGUAGGUAACCUGCCUGGUAGCGGGGGAUAACUAUUGGAAACGAUAGCUAAUACCGCAUAAUAGUAGAUGUCGCAUGACAUUUGCUUAAAAGGUGCAAUUGCAUCACUACCAGAUGGACCUGCGUUGUAUUAGCUAGUUGGUGAGGUAACGGCUCACCAAGGCAACGAUACAUAGCCGACCUGAGAGGGUGAUCGGCCACACUGGGACUGAGACACGGCCCAGACUCCUACGGGAGGCAGCAGUAGGGAAUCUUCGGCAAUGGACGGAAGUCUGACCGAGCAACGCCGCGUGAGUGAAGAAGGUUUUCGGAUCGUAAAGCUCUGUUGUAAGAGAAGAACGGGUGUGAGAGUGGAAAGUUCACACUGUGACGGUAGCUUACCAGAAAGGGACGGCUAACUACGUG